GGGGACGCGUUCGGGCACAGUACCCCUUGGGUGACGAGGAAAGCUGUGCUAAUCCCUUACUUUAUUUCUCUCUUUUUCCUUACCCGUUAUCACAUAUAUUUUCUCUUUAACCAUUGGAGUUGAUUAAAAGUUGCUGGGCCAUAUCUGCUGCCGAAAGUUUAUAACCGCAGUCUCGUACUUAAUUACUGCAUAUAAACGACUUUUUAUUUGCAUCCUCUCGUUUGCUUUUUAUUUCCAAUAUCCUCUCUUUUUUCCUUGAUCGCAUUCCGAAAGUUCCCUGCGGAUGAUCACGAACCUUAUCAAUUAUCCCGGUAUAAACGUAUAAAAUUUCACUUUAAUGGGUGAAAUUCGUACAUACAUAUAUGUAUAUACACGUUGAAAUAAGUCCCGGCAGCUUUCGCCCUGGUUCUUCUCGGAAUAAAAGUGCCAACGUAAUAUCACGUGGCUGAUAGAUAACGAUCGGAUUCUAUGGAAAGUCUCUUCUACGAGGAUUAAGUGGAAACUUUUUUGUUGAGUGAUUCAUUUUCGAGGAAGAUGAUCCAGCGGGUAUAUGUACCUAAUUAGAAUAAAUAGGUAUUAGUCUUAAUUACUUUGCACUUAUUUUUUUUAUUACAUUCUUUAAUUCUACUGACUAUGUUGGCAUUUUUAAGAAUUUCUUUUUAUUUUUUUCAAUCUACUUAAGAUCUUUGUUUCGAGCGAUUCGAAAGCACUUGAUAACAUCUCUCAAUGGCAAAGGAGAUAAAGAAAAGAAAAGAGCGUCUAUGUUGCAGGUAUAAUUACCUAAUUACUUGCUUGCAAUUAUCACGAUUACAUUGCGAUGAGUCGGUCGCAAAUCGUAUUUUGAUGUUCUUUAUUCCAAGCGUAAAAUCGAAAACACAUAUACUCAUUGUUCGUCGUUCGUCGCUGCGCUAGUUGAACAUUAUUUUAUUUUAAAUGGUCUUCCUGAAAAUAUCGAAGUUCGUGGUAGAAGAUAAAAAUUAUUACAAUACGACAAUCAAUAUCCUUUAUCAUUUUUUCUUACUUUAACGAAAAUACUUGUUUAUCAAAAGCUCAUCGGUGCAAAUAACAAAUAUCGCAAUAUUUUCGCUCCAUGGUUAUAAUGGAAUAUAAAUAUUCUUUCGAAUGUCUUCUUACGUAAUUCGAACGUAAGUAAAAACGGGCAUAGCGAAUAUAUCUACGAAGGGAAAAUCUGCGGUAGAUAGGAUGGAGAAAUGUCGUAAACGAAAUGAGAUCGCUUUAUAUGCAAGAGACGAUCUACGCGUCGAGAUAUAUCGCUUAAAAGCAUAUUAGUAAAUCGAGUGUUUGCUAUUCCGUGCGCAUAGUCUCUUUCUCUUUCUUUUUCUUUCUGUCUUUUCUUUCUGUUUCUUCGUGAUGCAACGACCCUCUUUAUGCACACGAACGAUACAUCUCGCAAAAUUAAUUUUGUCGAAAUGGGCGAUCCUUCAUUUUUCUUUUCCACCUUUUAUCGAGUAUACCCACUGUAGUUCACUAAAUUAAUACGGACAAGUUGAGUCGUCAUUUUUUCUAUUAACGCAUGGACGCGUGUAAACGUCCAGAUGAAAGAUUCGAUAGCAGAGAAGCAGUAAUAUACUGUGAAAAAAGAACAGGCAAAAGAGAAAGAGGAAAGGGAGUAUGCAUAUAAAAGGCUAAAAAAUUAGCAAUUAUAAGUUCCGUACAUUAGCAUACGAGAAGGCGUUCGCUCUCACAAAGCCGUUGAGUUUAAUAGCUUCUGCAUGAAAGCAGGAAUUCAUGAAAGAUCGAUGUUAAAUUUUAUCCCUAGGGCUCCUUUGGCAGAAAAGAGAAUGAGAAACGACGAAAAUUACUUUUGGGAACAAAAUAAGAGGAAGAAAAAGUAAAACCGAAAUAAUAUGAAAUACACAAAAGUAGAAAAAUAAAAUCAAAACGAGACGACAAAUACAACAAGAAAUUGAUGCAGAAAUUGAUGAAUAUGAAUCAAACUUCUAAGGACGAAAUAACGACGAGCGGUAAUGAUCAAAGGUCAAACGAGCACGGUCAUAAAGUCAUCACCUUCGACUGCCGUUCGUUGACGCGUAGCAUCGUAAGCGGGCAAGAAACGAGUAGAUCUCGCUGAAUGUCACCUCGAUCUGCGGGAAAGAAAUAGGAAAAGAGACAGAAGAGAACCACUUUGCCCGCUAUAUACGAAUACUCAUUCAAGCACACACGUACACGAUGUUGCUUUCAUGUACAUAUACCUUUAUCAAAGCCGACGGAGUCGCUUAGGACGUAAAGGAGCUUGUCAUGUAAAGAGAACAUGUAAUUGCUGGAGAUAUUAGUUCAUAAACAAUUUUGACCCAUUUCACGUAAAACUAGAUACGUACGAUUAUCGAUCAGAA